AAGUCGUAACAAGGUUUCCGUAGGUGAACCUGCGGAAGGAUCAUUACCAAUUUAAUCCAAAACUCUCAACCCGUGUGCACUGUGACAUUGUUUGUCUUUGGGGUAGCCGUUUUGUUUUGCAUAAUGUUUGCUGCCCCAACAUUUGUUCAACUCAUUAACAUUUUCGUGGCAUCUUGAUUGUCUUAAUACAAAUGGACAACUUUUAACGGUGGAUCUCCUGGCUCGU
rnacentral:misc_RNA from 1 species